rnacentral:rRNA from 1 species
CUCGUAGGCGGCCAACUAAGUCGGAUGUGAAAUCCCCAGGCUUAACCUGGGAACUGCAUCCGAUACUGGAUGGCUUGAAUUCGGGAGAGGGAUGCAGAAUUCCAGGUGUAGCGGUGAAAUGCGUAGAUAUCUGGAGGAAUACCGGUGGCGAAGGCGGCAUCCUGGACCGAGAUUGACGCUGAUGAGCAAAGCUAGGGAGCAAAC